ensembl:lncRNA
AAUACACAAUGCAAACCUGCAAUCCUUGGGUCUCAUGAAAAGUAUUUAUGUUUGGGAUCAUUUCUGUGUAUUAAUGGAUGGAUGUACUGACAACAGGAAUUGUAUCAUCUUACUGCCUUUAAGACCUUACUAACCCACAUCGUGCGAGAUACAGAAAGUGUCAAAAGACUUAGACAUUGCAAGCGUGGCUGAAUCAGCCCUGAAGAUCCACACGGAAAGGAAGAAACACAAUCUGCAGUGGCCCGGAAUGGCACCAAUUAUAUUGCGUGACUUUGUCUCAGUACCACCUAAACUGCACAACCAGAAGGAAAACCCGAUUAACAGAUCAAUAUUUAACAUGCAUCCUCUACAAACCUUUCUUCAUGGGCGUAGAAUAACGAUUCAUGGUGUGCAGAGAUCCUGUGGACAAUGAAAAGUGUAGUCUCUUCUCCUGCGCAUUGUGUAUGGUAGAUGCCAUGCAUGUAGGGGAGAUGGCAGCCGAUUGGCGCGCUCAACAGACUUCACCACCCUCUGGAGGGACUCCACAGACUUCACCACCCUCUCAUCAUUAAUGAACACACAGAGAAACUUGAAGUCAG